rnacentral:rRNA from 1 species
AGUGAACGCUGGCGGUAGGCCUAACACAUGCAAGUCGAACGGCAGCACAGUAAGAGCUUGCUCUUACGGGUGGCGAGUGGCGGACGGGUGAGGAAUACAUCGGAAUCUACUUUUUCGUGGGGGAUAACGUAGGGAAACUUACGCUAAUACCGCAUACGACCUACGGGUGAAAGCAGGGGAUCUUCGGACCUUGCGCGAUUGAAUGAGCCGAUGUCGGAUUAGCUGGUUGGCGGGGUAAAGGCCCACCAAGGCGACGAUCCGUAGCUGGUCUGAGAGGAUGAUCAGCCACACUGGAACUGAGACACGGUCCAGACUCCUACGGGAGGCAGCAGUGGGGAAUAUUGGACAAUGGGCGCAAGCCUGAUCCGGCCAUACCGCGUGGGUGAAGAAGGCCUUCGGGUUGUAAAGCCCUUUUGUUGGGAAAGAAAAGCAGCAGGUUAAUACCCCGCUGUUCUGACGGUACCCAAAGAAUAAGCACCGGCUAACUUCGUG